rnacentral:rRNA from 1 species
UACAGAGGGCCCGAGCGUUGUUCGGAUUCAUUGGGCGUAAAGGGUGCGUAGGUGGCGCUGUAAGUGGGGUGUGAAAUCCCGGGGCUUAACCCCGGGACUGCAUUCCAUACUGCGGUGCUUGAGGACUGGAGAGGAGACUGGAAUUUACGGUGUAGCAGUGAAAUGCGUAGAGAUCGUAAGGAAGACCAGUGGCGAAGGCGGGUCUCUGGACAGUUCCUGACACUGAGGCACGAAGGCCAGGGGAGCAAACGGG